UACAGAGGGUGCGAGCGUUAAUCGGAGUUACUGGGCGUAAAGGGCGCGUAGGCGGUAAGAUGUGUGUGAUGUGAAAGCCCCGGGCUUAACCUGGGAAGUGCAUCGCAAACUAUCUAACUGGAGUAUAUGAGAGGGUGGCGGAAUUUCCGGUGUAGCGGUGAAAUGCUUAGAUAUGACACAGAACACCGAUCGCGAAGGCAGCUAACGAAGCUAUUAUUGACGCUCAGGCACGACAGCAUGGGGAGCAAACAGG
rnacentral:rRNA from 1 species